ensembl:lncRNA TPT1-AS1 TPT1 antisense RNA 1
GAUUACAGGCACGCGCCACCACUCCCAGUUUACACCCCGCCACUCCUGAGCACCGCACACCGGCUUCCUCCCAGUCCCUCAUCUGAGAACUCAUGAAGCCACUUGGAAUCCCUCUCUGCUUUGCCUGGCUCAUUCCAUGUCAAUUUCAGAUCUUCACUUCAGGUCAGCUCCAAGGAGGCUAUCCUUGCCCAUCUUCCUAAAAUAGAGCUCUCAAAACCUGGCUGUUUUCCUUCAGAGCACUGGCCUCCAAUUGCUCCGGUAGAUUGCAAAUGACCUGCUUUCUUUCUGUUCCCGGGCGUUUGGACCCCUGUCUUGGACCGCUGUCGGAUAGUAAAUCCCAAGUAAGGUACCUGCCGUCGGCAGAUUUGAGCUUUCUUCUUGGACACCUAAUACCCAGAGUCCUCCAGGCUCCGGUAGAUUGCAAAUGACCUGCUUUCUUUCUGUUCCCGGGCGGCAUCGGACCCGUCGGAGAGUAAAUCCCAAGUAAGGUACCUGCCGUUGGCAGAUUUGAGCUUUCUUCUUGGACACCUAAUACCCACAGUCCUCCAGGCUCCGGUAGAUUGCAAAUGACCUGCUUUCUUUCUGUUCCCGGGUGGCAUCGACCCGUCGGAGAGUAAAUCCCAAGUAAGGUACCUGCCGUUGGCAGAUUUGAGCUUUCUUCUUGGACACCUAAUACCCACAGUCCUCCAGUAAAUCCCAAGCAAGGUACCUGCCGUCAGCAGAUUUGAGCUUUCUUCUUGGACACCUAAUACCCACAGUCCUCCAGGCUCCGGUAGAUUGCAAAUGACCUGCUUUCUUUCUGUUCCCGGGCUGCGUUCGGACCCCUGUCGGAUAGUAACUCCCAAGUAAGGUACCUGCCGUCGGCAGAUUGGAGCUUUCUUCUUGGAGACCUAAUACCCACAGUCCUCCAGAAAAACAAACAAAGACAUGGAUUUACUGUGCAUAUUAGCAGAUCCAUACUGGAAAAUGCAUGGAGGUUUCAUAUACACCACUUACAGUUUUCAGCUCCUCAGUAGUGACAAAGCCAUACCCAUCAUUGUCGAUUCGAUCAACAAUCUUCCCUAGCCUCUCCUUGCUCUCGUCCGGGGUGAGCUCGUCGAAGUUCUUGGAGUCCUCCUUGCCCAGGAAGGCCUCGUGGUCGUACUGGAAGCUCUGGUUGUCCUCAGGGGGCCGCUCGCCCAGCUCCGAGUCGGGCCGCACCACGCGCUCUUUGCGCACCGUGGGCUUGGCCCGCAGAACCCGCGGCGCCAGCACCAGCGCCAGCAGCAGCCCCAGGGCUAACCCCAGGCGGCCACCGCGCGCCAUCGUCCCGAGGAGAGGGCGGCCGGGAGGGAGACGCUGAGCGAGCGACAACAGCGGCAGCUCGGGAAUGGGGGCUCGGAGCGCGGCGGCCAAGUUUUAUGUUAUGUAUAUUUUACAAGUAAAAAAAUUUUUUCACCUCAGCCUGAACUGAACACUAGCUGACAGACGUUUUGAUUUCUUUGACCAUCACGGAAUCGUGGCCAAGCGCGGUGGCUCACAUCUGUAAUCCCAACACUUUGGGAGGUCAAGAUGGGCGGAUUGCUUGAAUCCAGGUGUUUGAGAUCAGCCUGGGCAACAUGACAAAACCCUGUUUCUAGUAAAAAUACAAAAAUUAACCAGGCUCAAGCCAUGACCAUGCACCAUUG